UGAAGCCGCAUAAAAAUCUUACAGAUGUUUUGAAAUAAAAUGACCUCAAUUCCAUACUUAAAUCUAACAUCAUAAUUGUAGUUCACUUCAUGGAAUGGAAGUUAUACGGACCCGUCGUACUGGCAGUCGUGUUGUUCCUCCUCGUUGGUACGAUUUUCGAACGAAGGAUUGAAGCAGCUAUACGACGUAUCAUCGAACAUCAACAAGCGUACCUGCUGGCUAACAGUAUCAAUCGCCAUGACAUAUCCAGUAUCCAGCAAUCAAGCGUCAGUAGAGCAUCUCAAAAAACCGUUGCAGAUGAGAAAUUACCAAACCUACACAGCAGUUCAGUACCGCAAUUGAAAAAAAUACAAUAUGCCGUCAGUAUGCUGUCUUUACGAAAUUCGUUCCCUCAAAUGAAAAAUAAAUAAUUAUGAUACAAUAUAUAACAAAAA